AAGACUAAGACUAAGGCUAAGGCUAAGUAGUUUGUAAACCUGAAUGCAGGAUAGGUAUAUCCGAUGCACAUCUGUUUUCCUGGGAAUACACAACUCAUCGGCUGUGUUUGGGGAGUGUGCACAGGACCAAAUCUUCCGAUGCAAUAGUGCCGCUGUUAAGGAGAUGUCGCUCGCGGAGGAUGUCCAGAGCGGAGCAGGAUGCGCUCUGAAUUGUUUAUUGUAUAUAUGGACUUGUGUUGGUUGGAGAAAGGACUCUUAUAAUUAGAAAAUACUAAACUGUGUGGAUGUGGUAUGUGGGGUGGAUGUGUGAGUGAUGUACAGUGCACUAAUUAAAUGUAUAUACACUUUAAUUGCA